rnacentral:siRNA from 1 species
GCGAUGAGCCUCGAAGCUACGGU